rnacentral:rRNA from 1 species
GCGGAAGGGUUAGUAAUACAUGGAUAACUUGCCUUUAACUUUGGGAUAACGAUUGGAAACGAUCGCUAAUACCGAAUGUGGUGGGGGUGAAAUAAAUUUACCUUUAUCAAAGUAGGGGAUCGCAAGACCGGGCUUUGCGGUUAAAGAGAGGUCCAUGCGAUAUCAGCUAGUUGGUGUGGUAACGGCGCACCAAGGCUAAGACGUCUAGGCGGAUUGAGAGAUUGA